GACGAACCGAGCGAACGUUGUUCGGAAUCACUGGGCUUAAAGGGCGCGUAGGCGGGCUAUCAAGUCCGGGGUGAAAUCCUCCAGCUUAACUGGAGAACUGCCUCGGAUACUGAUGGUCUCGAGGGAGAUAGGGGCAAGCGGAACUGUGGGUGGAGCGGUGAAAUGCGUUGAUAUCCAUAGGAACUCCGGUGGCGAAGGCGGCUUGCUGGAUCUCAUCUGACGCUGAGGCGCGAAAGCGUGGGGAGCAAACAGGAUUAGAAACCCC
rnacentral:rRNA from 1 species